rnacentral:rRNA from 1 species
CCUACGGGAGGCUGCAGUGAGGAAUAUUGGUCAAUGGCCGGAAGGCUGAACCAGCCAUGCCGCGUGAAGGUCAGUGCCCUAUGGGCGUUAAACUUCUUUUGUGCGGGAGCAAUAAUGGUCACGUGUGGCCAGACGAGAGUACCGUACGAAUAAGCAUCGGCUAACUCCGUGCCAGCAGCCGCGGUAAUACGGGGGAUGCAAGCGUUAUCCGGCUUGAUUGGGUUUAAAGGGUGCGUAGGCUGUGAGGUAAGUCAGCGGUGAAGUGCCCCCGCUCAACGGGGUGAAGUGCCAUUGAUACUGCCUUGCUGGAAGGCGGAUGCCGUGGGAGGAAUGUGUGGUGUGGCGGGGAAAUGCAUAGAUAUCACACAGAACACCGAUUGCGAAGGCAGCUCACGAAUCCGCGAUUGACGCUGAUGCACGAAAGCGUGGGUAUCAAACAGGAGUAGAUACCCUUGUAGUG